AACAGAGGUGUAAGAUCGGUGGGUAGCAUAGAUAGGAUGGGAGUGGAGCUAGCUGGUUCCCACUGGUGGGGACUCCGAAAGGCAGAGCCCACUGAAGAGACUGAAGUGGCUUUGCAUGAAUUUUUAACUAGAAAACUGUUGCAAUCUACUAAAUGAAGGCCAUCGGCUCUCUGAUAUGCACUGCCAACUCCAACUUCUUCACACUUGAUCUCCAAGAUUUUUUGGCUGUAGAAGCUCAAGUGCACAUGCUUCAUAGAGAAACACAAAACUCUAAGCCCGACAGCCUACCCUGUAGACUGCUCUUCUCUGGAGGCCAUGGCCUGGAUGGCCCAAUAACACUUCCUAGACUAUGGAUGCUGAGUGGUGAGUUAAUGAAGCUCCAUUCUCUCAUGAGAAUUUCCAAAUACAAUACUACUGAACGUUUUCCCCUCAACGUCUCAAAUUUUACCUUAAUAAACGUUUAGUUCCUAUUUGUGGGCUUCCAAGAUGAUGUGGAUACUCCCAGAGUGGGUUAGCUGCUGACGCACCCCUGGGACUGAGAUAGGAGAGACAGACUAGAUCUCUUUCCAUUCACACUCCCUAUGGUGGCAUGCAUCACCACUGGAAAGCCACCUGCUGGCAGGAUGCUGUGAGGCUGCUUUGCUGCCAGGUGUCCACAGAGCCCAGGGUCUACAAUCUAACCUGAAUCCACUGUCCAGAGUGUACAGGGAGCAUGUGAUUAAGAGAGUGAAACAUACUGAAGACACUGGGUAGAGGGGUAAGAGCAUGGUAGAGGAGGAGAGGGGGAAAGAAGCAUGAUAGAGUAUGACCGGGGGAAGGGCAGCCUAGUAUGUUGGGAUUCAGAAUCUCUGCUUCAGACAGUCUGGGGCUGGGGGUGUGGGUGUCGGGGCCAGCAUGACUCAUGUUCUCCUAGGUCCUACAUGUGUUGUUGGGCUCUUGAUGGAUGACAGCAAGCCUCCCAGAAUGCAUCUCUCCUCACAUCAUUACUGUGUGGUUCUCAGUAUCCCUCCAGCAGCUGGAAGACCAACUGUCAAAAACAGCCUGUGUGCUAUGCACUUCAGGCUGAGAGCCAAGAACCAACAGUAUCUCCCAACUCAGGUACAGUCCUCCUACUAUGGGGAUCACAAAACACGGACCCCCCAGAGCACGGCCCAAAUGCCCUUUGCUGGCCCAGGCUCCCAUUUGAGCUCAUCACGCUGAGGUCACCUUGGCUAUGUGUAGAAGACAUAGGGCAGUGUAGUGAGAAACAGGCCCUGAGGAAAAGCUGUUGAAAAGGAGGUUGCCACUCAGACAUGCUGCAUGACUGCCUAGGCUUGAGAGCCUCCUGGAGGCUGGUGCAGCCCCAGGAUGCUGCAGACCCAGAAUCAGCCUUUUCAGUCUCCCUUCAAGUCGGGGCACUGGCCCAGAGCUAAACUAGCCUGAAAGGGUAAUUUGAAGAUCAAGACCCAGGAAACAGGCAGUCUUCCUGAGAGCUGCUCCUGCCUUGAUCCAGCUGUGAGGUGCUGUCCUUUGCUAAUGACUGUGGCAGAUCCCAAAGGCUCCCGUGCCUUGCUUAGCAUGCCGCCUACUAUGCCCUCAAGUUGCAUCCCUGCUCCCUGCCAAACAGAGCUUCUGCCUGCAGCUGACCUGGGAAAGUGGGGCGCUCUUUGCUAUUUUAUUCCCGACAAGGAGAAGAUGCCCAGCUGACGACAGGUAUCCCCACCCUCAAAGCAGACAGGAUGAACACACAGUUACCCUUAGGCAUCUCUUUAUUAGGACCUAUUUUUGUGUAUUUU
rnacentral:sRNA from 1 species